rnacentral:rRNA from 1 species
UACUAGAGUAGCACUCGCAUAUCAAUAAGCGGAGGAAAAGAAACUAACAAGGAUUCCCCUAGUAACGGCGAGUGAAGCGGGAAGAGCUCAAAUUUGAAAUCUUAAAGGGUUUCCCUUUACGAAUUGUAGUUUAAAGAAGUGUUUUCUGUUGAGGUUUUGGUAAAAGUUCUUUGGAAUAGGACAUCAUAGAGGGUGAGAAUCCCGUAUUUGACCUUUACUUUCAACUUUGUGACACACUUUCAAAGAGUCGGAUUGUUUGGGAAUGCAGUCCAAAAUGGGUGGUAAAUUUCAUCUAAAGCUAAAUAUUGGCGAGAGACCGAUAGCGAACAAGUACCGUGAGGGAAAGAUGAAAAGAACUUUGAAAAGAGAGUUAAACAGUACGUGAAAUUGUCAAAAGGGAAGCGUUUGACACCAGUGUUGUUUUUCUGAAAAUCAAUUAAAGAACUGUUUAUGCUAAGUUGUUUAGACUUUAUCAGCUAUCUGUUUAGUUUUGAGCUUUUCUUUAAUGCACUUUUCAGUUAACAAGUCAACAUCAAUUUCUUUUGCUGUAAAAAAGCUUGAGGAAGGUGGCUUGAGAUUCGUCUUAAGUGUUUAUAGCCUCUUGCCUAUGCAGUCGGAGAGAUUGAGGUCUGCAGCGUAGAUCCUUCGGGGCUAAAUGCAUUUGUGCUAAGUUAUAGCAUUUUAUAGACAACUUGUUGACUAUGAUUUGUCUUGUAGCUUACUCGCUUAUGUUAUUUUACCUACGCUUAGGAUGUUGAUCUCUCACAGUCGAGC